GGGCUUGAGGAGGCCAUUUUGGGGGGAGGAAGGGUGUUGGGCUGGGCUGUGUUGAGGAACUCCCUUUGCCAGGUAAUACUAAUCUGUAUGCAUAUGUGGAGACACGACGAGUUGGAGAUGUGUUGUGCUACAUGACAGGUUUGUGAUGAUGCACCGGGAUAUCAACAGCGCUAGCAGUGUCUUCGUAAGAACAAGCAGCGGGGACGAUGACAUCGCCCUCCAUGUUAAAGCGGAUAUCAAAAUCAGAUAUAAAAACAUCAAAAACACAUUAAUCGGAUAGGAUGUAAACGCGAUAGAAGCCCUCUUGUCCUUCUGUCUUCCCCCUUGGCUCUACUACACUACAUUGCGGAGCCAGCAAUUUACGGGGUCAACCACCACCACCACCC
rnacentral:sRNA from 2 species